GUUAGCUGUCGCGACCUCUUCGAAAAGCGUGUACCUACGAUAGAAUGCGUGGCAAAAACAGGAAUCACCUCGUGGCCGCUUUUACCUGUUAUUCGGCCGGACCCUGUACAAGUUUCAUCGCGCGGUAGAGCCGCGUUCGUCCGAACAGGUCGAGAAACAACGCAGUUCCUGUAACGAGCAGAUCGGAUAGUCGGUAUGUACCUUCGACUCUUCUUAUCGGUUCGAACGGAGAAUUUUGGCGCAUCAUGCGCCAAGCGCCUCUUCCUAGACGCGUCGAAGCUGGCAGCGCGCUUGCACGUGGCGAUCAUCGCGAAGCAACGUGCACCUGUCCGCGAAACAGCAACAGCGGAGCGUUCCCGUCACGAUGGCUGACGUGGUAGCUGCCCGAAGAAUCUAGACGCGUGUCAGAGUUGGGAAAAGAUCGGAAGACGCGUUGCGAGGCGACAGCGUUUGCCAGUUUGUCUCGCGAUCCAGGACGACGUGACACGCGAAUCGGCGGAAGAAGGUUGGCGUUAAUUGCGCGAGUACUUUCACUCGGCGCUGUUAAAACGACCGGCGAAUCGCGUUGACGCGCAAAGAGACGAAGAGAACGGGUUAAAAGCGGUUUAUUGCAGAAGCAGCGCAAAGGAUGGCCGCUUCUUUCGUUCCAGAUUAUUUCCUCCCAUUAUUCGUCGAAGACGUCUACCAUAAAAAGGGGGCAAACAGAUCCGGCGACAGCUGCUUGGCUAUUAAAAGCGACUUAAACCCCAAACCCUCGGUGCGAUCGCAAAAGUUACCUCGCUCGUUCCAUCGAGCCCCCUUCUACCGCGUCUCGGCUCCUCUUCGCGAUUACGCACAAAGCCAACGCAUGUAUACCGCUCGACAGACUUUCCUAGCAAAUAAGCAAAUUGCUAAAUGAGCCGUAACGCCAACCCCCGCCACCGCAAAAAAAGAGGAAGAAAGACGAAACUUGCAGAGGCAGCGAUCUUUCUUUUCGCAAAUUUUACGUUAAAAUGCUACUGGUUUUACCGUGCCACGUUUACUUUCUAACGUUUCGCGAUCUUUCUUUCGCGAUGCAUAAGCCGCACCAGCUUUGUUAUUCGACGCUAACUUUGCCAGGCCCGCUUUCGAAGUUUAAUUUGAAAUUGUACAUCCAUCGUUAUUUCGUUUGUUCGUCCAACUUGUGUUUUCGCGAUGGAUAACUCGAACGAAUGAUCGAGCUGAUGUAUCGGAUGAAAGAGUGAAAUUGUAUAACAUCGUUUGGUUAAUGGUUAGUCAUAGCGAUCGUGUGCACGUUAAAUUGAAACAAAUUGAAAGUCGGAAGUUGUGUAUCCGCGUGGAUGUAGAUUAAUUAAUUCGAUACCGAUGCAAUUAAAUUGAUAUCAAGGUGUUUCGUGAGGACGGCUUCUCAUCUGCAUAAUCUGUAUAUAAUAACAUGGGUGAAAAAAAGGAAUUAGUCCCCCGGCGAUAAACUUUUUACCACCCCAUCGCUUGCUUCUCGAAUCUAGAGCCUCGUGCACUCGCUUCACUGGCUCUUCUCCCAAACUGUUAAAGCAGCGGAUAAAUUAGAAAAAUACUCUUUCGGCUACUGAUACCUCAUAUGGUUCGUUAGUUAUCAGUACCCAAUAAAUUAGUACCUAAUGGCCGUUUCAUCCGGUCGAUUUUUUAUUUAACAAAUAAA